rnacentral:rRNA from 1 species
CGCCCGGUUUACAUUCCGAACCCGGAAGCUAAGCCUUUCAGCGCCGAUGGUACUGCAGGGGGGACCCUGUGGGAGAGUAGGACGCCGCCGAAC